AGUGCCAGGCCAGGCUGGGCACUCACGGGCUGAGUCCUGGCCCCAGGCUGUCAGCUUUGCCCGAACUUUUCACUGAAGAGCCUACUGUGCCUCAGUUUCUCCAUCUGAGAAACGGAGGCUAAGGAAUGCAUCGGUUUUAUGAUAGGAGAUAAGAAAAUGGGGCGCAGCAGCCAGCCAGGCGCCUGGCACACAGCAGUUGCUUAGCAAAGCAUUACCUCCCCUCCCGCCUGCCGUCCUCACCCCGGAAUGCCCUGCCUCCCAGUCCUCAGCAGGAUGGCUCAGCCCUCACCCGGACCUCCGGCCCAAGUGUCUCCCCAUUCCUCCCAGCCUUUGUCCCCGAGGUCCCCGUCCCUCCUUCUCCAAGGGCAGCGAGCUUCUUCAGCCCCUCCUGCCACCACCUCGGGUGACAGGUUUGCUGGGGGUGACAGGACACCAGCCCGCUGACUCAGCGCCCAGAGCUAGGCCUUGCUUAGCAACAGAGAGGCCUGGGGCAAACAGAGCUGUGGGCAACCACACCCCCGCCGCAGGAAUGCGCCAGCGUUCCUGGGGGCUGCCGUGGCACCCGCUGUGGCCAGAUGGGGGCAGGACAGGGCCAUCUGAAGCACCGAGGAAGCUGGUUUAUGAAAAGAGGCCUUGACCAAGGAUUUAGCCCAGCAGCACAAGCGCCUGCCUGGCAAGCACAAGAUUGUGAGUUCGAUCCUCAGUACCAAAAAAAAAGGAAGGAAGGAAAGAAAGAAAAGAAAAGAAAGAGGCCUUUCCUUGGAGCUGGGCAGGGCCCUGGAUUUGCACCCCGGAUUCUGUCUCUGCUGUGUGAUCUUGGGUACACACCAGAUCUGGUCUUCCGUUUCCUGUUACAAGACCUUGUACUUGCCAGGCAGGCGCUUGUACUGCUGAGCUAUCUCUCUGGCCUCCACAUUUAAAUUCCUUGAACAUUAUGUUGGUGCUCAAAGUUUCAGAUUUUGGAUUUCCAGACAAUCAAGUUGUUUCAACUGUUCUGUGCACAAGAAGGUGACCCGAGCGGCAGACGGUAGGUCCCGGAGAUGAGAGUCCCAGGUACAGGCCCCAGCCCCACGGCAACACGCCCCCAGCCCUCAGUGCCUCAUUUUACCCCCCAGAGCUGCCUGCCUCUGACCCACUGUAGGUGGCUGAGCCCUGGUGCUGCUGCUGCUGCUGCUGUGAGGCUGGGCCUGCUGGGGGAGGGGGCUGCGGGCCCCACCAUUCACCACUAAGCCGGGAUCCGGGCGCCUUUGUACAGAGAACAAAGCCAGGGAUCAGCUGUUCCCUGACCUGCCCUUCUCUGCUCCGGAAGGGACAGGCCCAGGCCCAGAGAUGAGGGGAGCCGGCGAGGAGGGAGGUUUGCACCCUGAGAGGCCCCCUCCCCAAGCCAGGAUGCGGUUAUGAGGGGUGCACUAACCCAGGUUCAAACCCACAUCUUAGCAUCAUGAGAUGGGCAAGGGUUUAUCCUCUCCAGGUCUCAGCGGCACAGUCUCUCGGGACAAUGCAGUGGCUCCCACAGGAGGGGUCUUCAGCCUUGCCCUGGGUCAGGGCGCAGGCUGGGACAAAUGCUGGAUCUGAGUGCAAAACAUGCGUUUGUGCACAGCCGUGCGUGUAUGCAUGCGUUCAUGAAGGGGGAUUCUGACCAACUCAGGACAGGUGUGCUGGGGACAGGACCUGACCUGCCAGCUGCCUAGUCCCCAUUCUCAGCCAGGUGUCCGGGGAUGUCCCUUGAGAGAGGAUUGAGGAAGAAGGCAGCCCCAGGCCCUCCUCUCCCACCUCAUCCCCUGCCUGGGCCUCAACCCGGGGCAGGCUUCCCUCCGCUGCCUCCCAGCCCGCUGCGGCUGAAGGGGGCCUGGCUGCGUGUUGCUCUGUCCUGUGACCCACAGUCCCUCAACCCCUGGAGACAGGCGCCUUGACAAGAGGUACUGAGGCCCGGGCUGGGCAGUGAUGACUUGAGUUUCCAGGCUGCAAGCCAGGCAGCCCGUGGUCACACUCGGCCUGGGGCCUGGGCUCCGGCCAAGCGUCAGCAGUGAGAUUGUUGGGUUGGUUUUAUUUUAAACAAAAACGAACUUGGGGAAAAAAAAAAAAAAAAAGAACUUUGAGUGGAAACAUGUGUUUCUCCUUCCUCCCCUCCCUCUCUUCCUCUCUACAUCUUGUCUUCCUGUGUGCUGCUAGCGCCCUCCUUUCUGCUCUUCCACAUGCUGUGCUCCUCCCCGCCAAGUCUCCUGUCUCUGUGUCAUGGUGUGUAUCUUGCUGUCCCCGCAAAGCCUCAUGCAGGUGGGGUUUCCAGAGGUGGCCGAAUCCAGAGUGCGCUGACUCACGGGUGCAAUGCCAGGAUUAAGGGUGCAGAGAUUAAAGGUGGAGGAUUACUAAAUUAGCCCUGAUCGGUUUGGGACCACCUUUAUCUUGCGGCUCAUCUAGUCUCCUGCUUGCUUGCCUUGCCUCCUUCUGCCCGCUGUGAAUCAUUUUCCUCUGCGAUGCCCCUGUGCCACGCCACCCUGUCUGGGAGUCAGCCGAUUGUGCACUGAAACCUCUACAAACUGUGAGCUCAAUAAACCUUUCCUCCCUUAA